rnacentral:lncRNA from 1 species
CUGGAUGUGGUGGCCUAAUCUCUGUAAGCAAGGGGAUUGUCCCGAGUUCGAGGCCAGCCUGAAGUACAAGUUCAGCCCAGAGCACAGUCUUCCGGCAGCGUCGGGAUGUGCCCAGCUGCCCCUAAUCAAAGGUGAAACACCACCAUUCCCAGAGUGUCUUUGGGUGACAUCCCAACUCCAUCCGUAGACGCCUCCCUCCCAUCUCCAUGGCUCCUGAACUACACGGAACCAAACCAUGCAAUUCAGCUGAGGAAAGAGAGAGAGAGAGAGAGAGAGAGAGAGAGAGGGCCGAUGGGGCCAUCUGGUCAACCUUACUUCCUCUCAGAAAACCUGGAUAUGGCGAGCCACCAGGCAGCAUCCCAAACAGGUGGGCUGUUCUCUGAAAG